rnacentral:rRNA from 1 species
UACGGAGGGAGCAAGCGUUACUCGGAAUUAUUGGGCGUAAAGGGCGCGUAGGCGAUUUGAAAAGUCUUGUGUGAAAGCCCCGAGCUUAACUCGGGAAGUGCACAAGAAACUGUUGAAUUUGAGUUCCGGAGAGGAAGGCAGAAUUCCCGGUGUAGCGGUGAAAUGCGUAGAUAUCGGGAGGAAUACCAGUGGCGAAGGCGGCCUUCUGGACGGAUACUGACGCUGAGACGCGAAAGCGUGGGGAGCAAACAGG